rnacentral:ncRNA from 2 species
GCUACAAUUGGCAAUGAUGUCUGCCUUAAACCGUUCCUAAUGGAGCUAAUGACUUCUACUUUUAA